CACGACCAUAUCAUGAUGAAACACUGGUUCUCUUAAGAUCACCGAAGUUAAGCAACGUUGACCUUGGUCAGUACCUGGAUGGGUGACCGCUUUGGAAUGCCAGGUGUUGUAA